rnacentral:rRNA from 1 species
UACAGAGGGGGCUAGCGUUAUUCGGAAUUAUUGGGCGUAAAGGGCGCGUAGGCGGCCAUGCGUGUCUUCCGUGAAAUCCCUCGGCUUAACUGAGGACGUGCGGAAGAAACUGCAAGGCUCGAGUCCGGGAGAGGGGGGUGGAAUUCCCAGUGUAGCGGUGAAAUGCGUAGAUAUUGGGAGGAACACCGGUGGCGAAGGCGGCCCCCCUGGACCGGUACUGACGCUGAGGCGCGAAAGCGUGGGUAGCAAACGGG